rnacentral:rRNA from 1 species
AUUGAACGCUGGCGGCAUGCCUUACACAUGCAAGUCGAACGGUAACAGGUCUUCGGAUGCUGACGAGUGGCGAACGGGUGAGUAAUACAUCGGAACGUGCCCAGACGUGGGGGAUAACGCGGCGAAAGCUUUGCUAAUACCGCAUACGAUCUAAGGAUGAAAGCAGGGGACCGCAAGGCCUUGCGCGUUUGGAGCGGCCGAUGGCAGAUUAGGUAGUUGGUGGGAUAAAAGCUUACCAAGCCGACGAUCUGUAGCUGGUCUGAGAGGACGACCAGCCACACUGGGACUGAGACACGGCCCAGACUCCUACGGGAGGCAGCAGUGGGGAAUUUUGGACAAUGGGCGAAAGCCUGAUCCAGCAAUGCCGCGUGCAGGAUGAAGGCCUUCGGGUUGUAAACUGCUUUUGUACGGAACGAAAAGGCUCUGGCUAAUACCUGGGGCACAUGACGGUACCGUAAGAAUAAGCACCGGCUAACUACGUG